GGGGUCCACUUUGUCUCGUCGCAGGAUAGCUCUAAGGGAUAAAUAUGCUGGACCGCUCGCUCGAUAUUCCCGUUCGAGGUCCGUAUACUAGCUCCCCGCAUCACAUCAUCUCUUCCUUUCGUCACCCUGGACACGACUCCGAGUUUCCAUGCAUGACGUUUCUUGUCUUCGUCCCGAACUAUGACGAUCUCCCCGAUCUUUGGAUAGGAGGUCUGUUUGCCGACCCGUUGGUUAUGGCGUUCGCGCAGGCUUCGAACAUACUCUUGGGACCAACGUUUCCACAUCGCCUCUUUACAUUUCCGUAAUAGUCUCGCACGUUUCCGCAAAUCUCUAUCUUCCAGGUAGUGGGGAUCAGCUUCAGGUAGGACACAAGGGUUAAUGUUCAGCAUUGUGGAAGGUGUAAGUACUGGUAAUUGGAUGUCAUCUUCUAGAUAGGUCAACGGACGGUUGUUGAGAGCCACUUCCACAUCCAAUACUACUUCCUCUAAUUCGUCUAAGGUCAGCGUUCCGUUACCGAUCGUUUUGUAGAACGCUCUUUUGAAGAGACCAAUGAGGCGUUCAAAUUGGCCUCCCCACCAUGGCGCACGACUAAGGUUGAACCUCCACUCGAUUGCGUUGUCAGCCAGGAAUGCGUUGAACUUCUCGUCCUUUUGUGCUUUCUUCAGCCAUUUGUCGGCAGCCUUAAAGGUCUUCGCGUUGUCGGAAUAUAUGAACUUCGGGCGACCACGUCUUGCGAUGAGCCUUUUCAGACUUGGCAUGAACUCCACAACUUCCAGUGACCGUAAGAUCUCGAGAUGCACUGCACGCGUCAAACUGCAGCCAUAAAGCACCAGGUAUGCCUUCUUCUCCGCCUUUGCUUUAGUCCGGUAGCGUAUUGGACCCGAAAAAUCUACUCCAAUGACUUGGAACGGGGUUGAACCUUGCGUUCUCGUGAUUGGCAGCUUCCCAGGUGGAGGUUUCUUAUAUGCUUGAGCUCUAAAUCGCACGCUCCCGUAACAAUCUUUCCGCACUUGCUUCACCAACCGUCGCAGUUUUGGAAUCCAAAAUCGCUGACGUACUUUUGCCAUGACCAUAGCGACACCACCGUGGAGGGUUACUAGAUGUGCUCGUUCGACUACUUUCUUGGCUAAGCUGGAACUGCGAGGCAAGUACACGGGGAAAUUUCCUUCAAUUCGACCGCGACAUUCGAGUACUCCGUUUCCGUUAAGCUGAAUGUUCAAUUGAAGUUGGAUGUCGUGGAAUUCAGGAUCUUCCUUGACUUCACAUUGCGUUCUUUUAAUCGCCCAAAGUUCACUUUCUUCGAUUUCUUCCGACGUUAACGGUCCUGUUUUCCGAUUUUCGCAGGAUACCUUACGAUUCUUUGCAAACCGGUUGAAUUGGGCACGAAUUCUCAGGGCCUUCCGGAG